UUUAGCUCUUAAAUAAUAUGAAUGAGAUUACUAUCUUUAGGCAGGCAAUAAAAUCCUUCUUCAUAGGAAUCUCUUUCAUUGAGGAAUGAGAUUUCCAUCAGCUCUUGUGUCUACCUGUGAUGGACUUUAAUAGAAUACGAUUGAUAAUGCCAUUCCUACUGUCGAUUCUUGUCAUCCAUGGUGCCUUGAGUUGGUGAAUGGCUCUAGAGAUAAAUGGUGCAGGCAUAAGUUUUGGGCAAAAUAUUAUGACAGAGAUUAAAAAUAUGG
rnacentral:lncRNA from 1 species